CUAGACAACUUUCAUAAAUCCUUUAUAUAGAAAGCGUAAAUAAAAUACAGAAAAUAAACCAGAGCAUAUUAUUUAAUGUAGGUAUAUAUAAUAUAAACGCCCCCAGAAGAUCAUAAAUCUAUAGGAUUAGAAUUUUCAAGGAAGUCGACGCAUUGCUUUUAUAUUCUUUUGCUGCACAACCUAACACUGUUCGGUUCUAAAAUUGAGCAAUUGUUUGCUGGCAAAGUUGGGAACUUUCUAUGAAGCAAGCCGUUCAGGGUUUCAUUAGAAAGCCUGUUUCUUUUGUCAGUUUUUAAAUUUGAGAACACUGAAUAAUCUUUCCACCUUAGUCUUUGAAGAAGGAACUGCUAGCAAAAGUGAAAUGACAAUUACAAGGUUUUCGUAAAUGAAAUUACCAUGAUAAUCUUUCAUGGUACAUGAAGUACCUAUAUAUUACAAUACAAGUAAGUUCUGGUGACAUCAACGAAAAUAGGUAAAUAAAAAUUUGGCGGAUUAUACUUAUUGGGAUUCUGGGGAAUCCCUAAGAAAAAGCAGUGGCUUAAUCUAUGAUUUACUUUACUAGAGGGUUACUGUUGAAUCAAACCUUUAUAGUUUUUAUACACAACUCUGUUUUAUUCUUUUACUUGUCAACUCGACUUAAUGUCAUUCUCUCUCCAUAAAAUAAAAUGUUCAUUGUUUUACUUUAAUUAUCGUUUAUUUUAAAAUUCACAACAGUUACUAGUAUAGGCUUUGCUUUUUACCCCGAAAUAUCCUAAAUCCUGGUAUUUUUUAAAUUGUCUUUAUCAUCCAAAAUAUCAGCUAUUUUUCCCUAAAAAAGGGAGAAUUCCCUAAAAGUGGAAGCACUGCUUCAAAGUACGCUACAUUUUUUAUUGAGUCAGAACUCAUAUCUGCCAUCUAGUGAGUUUAUUAGAUCAUUAAUGCCUAAAAGUUACAAAAAUGACGUCGCCACAGGAGUAAGAUGACGCUAGUUGUAUGUUAUUUUCCUUUGUAUGGGAGUUGCACCCCCCUGCCGUCAACUAUAAUGCCUAAACUUUCUACGCGGUUUUAAUCGUGAAAAAAAAACAAUUAUAAAUCCUGAAGGAUCAAUUAAUUGGUAUACAGUUUAAUUAAAAAAAUUAAAAAAUUAAUAAAUAAAAUAAUGUGCAUUCGCGUAAAGUUAGCCCAAAUACAUUUUUUCCAUCCUCCUAUACACCUAUCGCUAUGAAGGUAUAAAAAAGAUAGGUUAAGAGUUCACAUAGGUAAUAUAAACAAAUAAGUAAAUAUGUUCAUUAUUUAUCUUUCAAGAGAUAAUGUAGGUAUACAUUAUAAUAACAUUUUGAUACAGUCGAAAUUAUAUUCCUAACAUUAGUAAAAUAACAUUUUAAUAAUUUUUUUAUAGGUUAUGUAUUGAAAUUGUUGGAAAAUUAUUUCAUGUUUUAGCUGGAAAACGACAUGGAGAAUUAUAUGCAAUACAAGAUAAUGAGCUCCAUCAAAUGAAUUCGAAUGAAACCAAACUGUUUACCAUCCAAAUUCGAUUGUCGGGCAGAUAGAAAACGAAAAUUCACUCAUAGUGAACCUCGGCCUGCAUUUGUGAAACGGCAAAGACUCACUAUUAUCAAGGAAAUUGAAGAGACGACUAAAAAUGAGAUGUGUCGUAUUAUUAUACCUUUGCCAUCUUGUAGUCAAGAUGUCCAGCCACUUGAAAAUAGGUGUAGUAAUGACAAAGCCAUCCAAGUAGCUCCAGCACAGGAACACAAAGGCAAGGCAAGUGUGUAUUGCCACAUCACCCCUUAAUAUAUCUGAAGCAAGUAUAAGUAAACAAUCAGAACCAGCAAAAAAAAAACUGUUGUUCUGAGGACAAAUUUGACAGUGAUGAGUCAAAUGCACCAGCAACAGAAGGAUCAACUGUUGACUAUGGGUUAUAGAAGAAGAAGAUUAAUUCAUAUUUAUUUAAAUUAAUAUUAAUGAAUAUUAAUUUAAAUUAUCGUGCAAAAUUCGUGGUCAAAACAUAUGUGUAUUUUAUAAAUAAAUAUUCAUUCUCAGUA